AGUUUUUUCUUAAAGUUUCUUACCAGAAUCCAGUUACCACGCCAAUUUGGCAAAACGUAUUUACGUAAUGUGUGAUGUUGUUUACUUGUGUAGUACUACACCGAAGUAGUUCAAAUAGUAUCUUGUUUAAAUUCUAAAAAAUUGAGUCUGUAGGACCCAGUAAUGAUUCUUAGAGAAAGUCUAGUAAAUAAUGUUCUUGUGGUAUACACUAAAUAAAAUGGAUAAAAUAGGUGUAGAAUUGUAAGAAAUUAUUUGCUUUCAGUACAUUCAGAAUGGACGACGCCAUGUUAGUUCGUUUGGAACUUAUUCAUGAGCGCCUAUCGAACUUGAUGGCGCAAAGCACCGCCAUGGGUACGGUCACGGAAGAGAAAUUAGCUAAACAGAUUCAGCUCAUCGAAGAGUGCGACUCGAAACUCACUCAAGAAAUACAUUUUUACAUAGAAAAGUGCAGUCAAGUUUCCAGUGAAAGAUUAAAAACUUUUACCAAGACACAGUUUCAGUCGGAAGAAUGGAGGGUGGAAAUGAAAGCUCUGUUAAAAAAUUCUUCAGUGACACUUACCACUGCGAAGUUGCCAAAACUUGCCCUACCAAAAUUCAAAGGAGAAACUCUGCGAUGGGCAGAGUUUUGGGAUCGUUUUAAGAGUAAUGUACACGACAAGUCAUUGCCUGAUGCCGAGAAGAUGGCAUACCUUGUCGGCUGCCUAGAAGCAGAGGCUCUUCAGGCAGUGGAAGGCCUUGGUAUAACUGAAUUAAAUUAUAAUGUAACAUUAGAAAUAUUAAAAGAAAGGUUUGGGAACCAGCAAAAGGUUAUUGAUGCCCACUAUGAUGCCAUCAAUAAUGUUCAAAGGGCAACGCACCAUGCCACGGACUGCAGAGCAAAUUUGAAUAUGAUAGAGAGACAUUUAAGAGUUCUUCAAAGUUUAGGAGAAACCAUAAAUGGAAAUCAUUUAAGGUCUACCAUACUAUCCAAAUUCCCUGAGAAGGUGGUAUAUGAGUUACACUUGCUAACGCUGACGGAUAAUAUAGAUAAUAUACGAAGCGGACUACAAAAAAUUAUAACUGCAAUGGAAAGUGCUAAAGAAAGCCCUGUCCCAAGUAGUAGUGACAACAUUUCUACAGCAGCUUUACAUAUAACUACCCACCAGAAGAAAGGGAAGCAGGAAAACAAGAGGAUAGCCCAUAAAAGGGGGUUUCUUAAAAGAAAACUACCGGAGAAUACUGAGAAGAUGUCAAAAAAUAAGAAACCUAAGAUGGCUUGCAUUUUUUGCCAAGGCGCGCACUACAAUGCAUCCUGCACAGUGGUUCAGGAUAUCAACGAUAGGAAAAAGAAACUAGGCAAAAGAUGUUACAUUUGCUUCAAGGAAGGACAUAGAACAACAACAUGCCACAAUAGGAAGCCGUGCUUCUUCUGCAAAGGAAGUCAUAAUCAAGCUUUAUGUCCACAAAAGCCAGGUCAUAAUAAUAUUGAGUUAUCUAUGGCAUCUAUGUCAUUAUCUAAAUAUAAUGAUAUCAAUAUUAAACAUAAUUAUUGUUCUUACCUACAGACGGCAAUAGUGGAGGUGGGGCCGAAGAACUCAAACAGAACUAAGACACGAAGGCUGAUUCUUGACAAUGGCAGUGGUCGCAGCUAUAUUACCAGGAAGCUUGCAAAAGAACUUGACUUAGUAGCGGAUCAGGAAGAUGAACUGAUGGUAUUUGUUUUCGGUGCUGAUGACCCAGUUAACAUUUCCAGCCCAUCAGUUGACAUCCAAAUUAUAACAAGAAGAGGUAUCAGAAGGGAUAUUCGGGUAAACAUUGUGCGCCGUAUAACUAAUUAUCUUGGUCCUCCCAUGAGUAUGGAUGGAAUUGAUGGAGUAGAUGUUGUAGCUGAUGAUGGGUCUGCUAGUGAAGAACCACAACUUUUGAUGGGUGGUGAUUAUUAUUAUUCAUUUCACAGAAAAGAAAUGCUAUGGCUGAAGGACCCCAAACAAGGAGUGACUGAGAAGAACCUUCUUCAUCUGCGCUUCUGUCGUGUCCCAUUUGGGGUAAUAUCUAGUCCAUUUUUGCUGACGGCUACGAUUCGCCAUCAUUUGUCAAAGGGUGACCAGCACCUUAUGUCAGAAAUAGCAGAAAGAACUUACGUGGACAACUUAGUCACUGGAACAGACACGUUAGAUGAAGCUCGUGAGCUUGUAAACAAGACUCGGGCGACAUUCACAGAAUUGUCUAUGAAUAUAAGAGAAUGGACAUCCAACAACAAACGAUUGCUGAAGACUAUUCCAAAACAGUUUCGAUCAAAAGACACUGAAUCGACAAAGGUAUUAGGACUUACCUGGCACAUAGGAAAGGAUACCCUGAAACUAAGGUUGGGUGAUGUACUUUCCGACACAAAGCAAGACAACACAACUAUAACAAAACGAGGGAUAUUGCGAACUCUUGCUUCAUUAUAUGAUCCUUGCGGUUUCGCGGCACCCUUAAUUUUGCCUGCAAAACUCCUUCUUCAAGAACUAUGGAAAAGGAAAGAAAAAUGGGAUUCUCAAUUGCCAGAAGACUUAGAGGAAGAAUGGCAGAAGGCAGUAAGUGCUCUACAGACUGCUGCUGAAAUAGAAAUACCCAGACAUGUUGGCCUGUCGCCAAAUGAAGACACAGAGUGUGAACUUCAUUGCUUCACUGACGCAUCUAAAAGAGCUUACUCAGCUGUAGUAUAUCUGAGGAUAGUGAAUAAGAAAGAAGUGAGCACUAAAGUAAUGCUCAUAAUGGCUAAAUCCCGAGUUACCCCGAUAAACCACUCGGAAGACCUCAAAAUACCAAAAUUAGAAUUACUUGGAUUCGUCAUUGGGAAGCGACUCUUAACUUAUGUAAAGAACACCCUUAGAAUAGAAUUGAAAAGACUAUGCCUCUGGUCUGACAGUGAAAUAGUUUUAUACUGGAUGAAAUCAGACAAGUUAUUGCCUCCAUUUGUUUGCAGAAGAAUAAAUGAAAUCAAACAAAACAAAGAUAUAGAACCCAGAUAUGUCAAUACUGAAUUGAACCCUGCCGAUCUAGCAACACGACCGGAACUUUGGCACACUAAGAAGGAAUUGUGGUUCAAUGGACCUCAAUUUCUUUCGCUAAGUGAGGAGGGCUGGCCAAAGUUGCAAGAACAUGGCCAGUCAGCUCUUUUUGCAGGAACUGACUCUAUAAUAGAUACCACGUCAUCUCAAGCAGAAGAGUCAGUCAGAGGAACCAUAGAACAGGAAAUUACAGAAGGAAUGACAAUAGAUAUAGAGAAUAUAGAAGACAAUGGUCAGAUGCAGGUUUCGGCCACUGGAGCUGAUAUGAACUGCGCAGAAAUAAAGAAUUUACAAAAAUUACACUUCCCUCAAGAGGCAGCAGGCAAGAAAACAAGCUUAUUCAGGAAUUUAGGACUAUUUGUGGAUAUGGAUGGAUUAUUAAGAUGUAAAGGUCGGCUUAUGAACACAAUGUGUUCAUAUGACACCAAAUAUCCAAUACUGAUACCUAAGAACUCGGAAUUCACAGACAUACUGAUUCUGGAGACUCAUCAGAGAUACUACCAUGUGGGAGCCCCACAUACACUGAGCAUUAUUCGCCAGAAAUACUGGAUUCCUCAAGGAAGAGCGAAGGUUCAGCGAAUCAUAAGAAAAUGCCAGCAGUGUAUUAAACAUGGAGGUGGUCCCUACAAACUUCCCUCCACACCAGCACUACCAGCAGAACGUGCUAAUUAUAGUGCUCCUUUCACAUAUACUGGAAUGGACUAUUUUGGGCCAAUCCUUGUUAUGGAGAAUGGACAGAUGAUAAAAAGAUGGAUUUGUCUGUAUACUUGCCUGGCUGUACGCGCAAUUCACAUGGAAGUAGUUAAGGAUUUAACUGCGGAAGAAUGUUUACUUGCAAUGAGAAGAUUCAUAUCUACACGAGGAAGACCAGAACUCAUUGUCUCAGACAAUGCAUUACAGUUUAAAUUAACUGCAGAAUUAUUGGCGAACACAUACUUCAUGGACAAUAAAAUAAGGUGGAAGUUUAUCCCUCAGCUCAGUCCAUGGCAUGGAGGAUUUUAUGAAAGGCUGGUCGGCAUUGUAAAGAAUUGUAUGAAGAGAACCUUAGCAAAGAGAGUUCUAAAUGACUCACAGCUAAGUACAGUCAUUAAAGAAAUCGAAGCUGUGACGAAUUCACGUCCACUUACUUGUGUUGGGUCUGACAUAGAAUAUCUUUUGAGGCCGACAGACUUUCUAACCUAUGGGAAAUGUAUAGCGAUUGAGCCUUCUAUACAAAAUUCCUAUCCAGGUGGUUCAGUCACAAAAGAAAAUCUAGUAGAGGGAUGGAAGAAGGGAAGAAUUAUGCUAGAAGAAUUUAAAAGAAUGUUUCUGGGACAAUACCUUUGCAGUCUACGUGAAAGGUACCAACACUCACACAAGGAACCCCGAGUCAAAACUAAUCGCAGCCCUCAUAUUGGUGAUAUAGUCCAAAUUAAGGGAGACUCGAAAAACAGGGAGAACUGGAAGGUAGGAAAAAUCAUCAGUUUAAAACGAGGAGCCGAUGGAGAAUGCAGAGUUGCAAAGGUCAAUGUUGAAGGAAAGGAAUUUAUAAGAUCAAUAGGUCACUUAUAUCCAUUAGAGGUGGAAGAGGCUAGACUAGAAGAUUCAGGAACAGAAGAAAGAAUUCAAGUAAAUCCAGAUGUACUGGAGGCAGAGGAAUCUUCACUACAGGGAAGCACAGAGAUAUCUGAAAUAGAAUCCAGAUAUCCUGAAAGGGAAUCAACAGAACAGAUGCCACUAGAAACUGCAGUGGAGGAUGAUGUUAGAUUGGAGACCAAUGGUUUAGACAAAAUACUCACUCCCGAGGAACUGAUCCAGGAAAACGGUAUUGGUGAGCAGGGUAAAGUGGUGUCUGAAGGUGAUGAAGACGUAGAGAGAGUAGAAACUGUGUCAGAUGUCAAUGAAGGAAGAAGUAAAAGAGCAGCGGCGGUCCGGGCGAGAGAAAAGAUUGCCCAAUGGACGAGCCAGCUGAUAGCCCUGCUAUAGAAACUCACGGCCGUUGGGGAGUGUCGCGACGAACGCGAGCCUCAACAAAAUAGCAGUAGGAGGUAGAAGAGACUUUUCCCCGAUGGAACAAUGUUCGUAGGGGGAAUCAGUUGGACAGAAUAAAAGAAAGAUCUGCGGGUGUAAAUCGGUGAGUGUUAGAAAUAUAGUUUCAUCAUUAUUUAGAUGAGAGAGAUGAAGGGAUUACUAAGAACGAGAAUUAGAAUAGAAGCAGCCAAGAAUAAGUCAAAUGGUUGUGAGUGGACAGGGUCGGGCUAUAAGGGGAGUUGUGGAGGCCCGCGGCGGAAAAAGAAUUUCCGCCAAACAAUCAGAAUAGAAUAUAGAUGGUAUUAGAAUUUAGAUCAGAAUAUAAAUCUAGAAAUCGCUUCAUCUCUUACUCUUUAGUACUAUGUUGUAUAUGUUCAGAUGUAUCUUGUCGUUAUGUCUUGUUUCUACUCAGGCAUGGUUUCAUACUAGAGUAAUAAGGAAUAUUUACUCUGGUUGGCAAC